rnacentral:rRNA from 1 species
GACGAACGCUGGCGGCGUGCUUAACACAUGCAAGUCGAACGGAAAGGCCCUGCUUUUGUGGGGUGCUCGAGUGGCGAACGGGUGAGUAACACGUGAGUAACCUGCCCUUGACUUUGGGAUAACUUCAGGAAACUGGGGCUAAUACCGGAUAGGAGCUCCUGCUGCAUGGGGGGGGUUGGAAAGUUUCGGCGGUUGGGGAUGGACUCGCGGCUUAUCAGCUUGUUGGUGGGGUAGGGGCUUACCAAGGCUUUGACGGGUAGCCGGCCUGAGAGGGUGACCGGCCUCCAUGGGCCUACGGGACGGCCCAGACUCCUACGGGACGCAGCGGUGGGGAAUAUUGCACAAUGGGCCGACGCCUGAUGCAGCAACGCCCCGUUCGGGAUACCGGCUUUCGGGUUGUAAACCGCUUUCGCAUGUAACGAAGAGUGCGUGACGGUACUUGGUAAAAAAGCACCGGCUAACUACGUG